rnacentral:rRNA from 1 species
UACGAAGGGGGCUAGCGUUGUUCGGAAUUACUGGGCGUAAAGCGCACGUAGGCGGAUAUUUAAGUCAGGGGUGAAAUCCCGGGGCUCAACCCCGGAACUGCCUUUGAUACUGGGUAUCUCGAGUCCGAGAGAGGUGAGUGGAAUUCCGAGUGUAGAGGUGAAAUCCGUAGAUAUUCGGAGGAACACCAGUGGCGAAGGCGGCUCACUGGCUCGGUACUGACGCUGAGGUGCGAAAGCGUGGGGAGCGAACAGG